rnacentral:rRNA from 1 species
CUGGCGGCGUGCUUAACACACGCAAGUCCGAACGGUAAGAGCGCUUUUCGGGCGUACACGAGCGGCGAAACGGGCGAGUCACACGUCGAGGAAACGCGCCCCUUGACUUUGGUAUAGCACUUCGGAAACAGGCGGUAAUCCCGAAAUAUUCAGUUUCCCGGGCAUCCGGGUUGUCGGAAAGCUUUUCGCGGUCAGGGAUUCGUCUCGCGGCCUAUCAGCUUGUCGGUGGGGUAGUGGCCCACCAAGGCCUUGACGGGUAGCCGGCCUGAGAGGGCGACCGGCCACAUUGGGACUGAGAUACGGCCCAGACUCCUACGGGAGGCAGCAGUGGGGAAUAUUGCACAAUGGGCGGAAGCCUGAUGCAGCAACGCCGCGUGCGGGAUGACGGCCUUCUGGUUGUAAACCGCUUUCACCCAUGACGAAGCGCGAGUGACGGUAGUGGGGGAAGAAGCACCGGCCAACUACGUGCCAGCAGCCGCGGUGAUACGUAGGGUGCGAGCGUUGUCCGGAAUUAUUGGGCGUAAAGAGCUUGUAGGCGGUUGAUCGCGUCGAUAGUGAAAUCCCGGGGCUCAACCUCGGGCUUGCUGUCGAUACGGGUUGACUUGAGGAAGGUAGGGGAGAAUGGAACUCCCGGUGGAGCGGUGGAAUGCGCAGAUAUCGGGAAGAACACCGGUGGCGAAGGCGGUUCUCUGGACCUUUCCUGACGCUGAGAAGCGAAAGCGUGGGGAGCAAACAGGCUUAGAUACCCUGGUAGUCCACGCUAUAAACGGUGGGUACUAGGUGUGGGUCGCAUUCCACGUGAUCCGUGCCGUAGCCAACGCAUUAAGUACCCCGCCUGGGGAGUACGGCCGCAAGGCUAAAACUCAAAGGAAUUGACGGGGCCCCGCACAAGCGGCGGAGCAUGCGGAUUAAUUCGAUGCAACGCGAAGAACCUUACCUGGGUUCGACAUGUACUGGAAGCGCUCGGAGAUGGGCGUGCCUUUUCGGCCGGUUCACAGGUGGUGCAUGGCUGUCGUCAGCUCGUGUCGUGAGAUGUUGGGUUAAGUCCCGCAACGAGCGCAACCCUCGUCCAAUGUUGCCAGCAGUUCGGCUGGGGACUCGUUGGAGACCGCCGGGGUCAACUCGGAGGAAGGUGGGGAUGAGGUCAAGUCAUCAUGCCCCUCAUGUCCAGGGCUUCACGCAUGCUACAAUGGCCGGUACAAAGAGUUGCGAGCCUGUGAGGGUGAGCGAAUCUCGGAAAGCCGGUCUCAGUUCGGAUUGGGGUCUGCAACUCGACCCCAUGAAGUCGGAGUCGCUAGUAAUCGCAGAUCAGCAACGCUGCGGUGAAUACGUUCCCGGGGCUUGCACACACCGCCCGUC